rnacentral:rRNA from 1 species
UACGAAGGGUGCAAGCGUUACUCGGAAUUACUGGGCGUAAAGCGUGCGUAGGUGGUUUGUUAAGUCUGAUGUGAAAGCCCUGGGCUCAACCUGGGAAUUGCAUUGGAUACUGGCAGGCUAGAGUGCGGUAGAGGAUGGCGGAAUUCCCGGUGUAGCAGUGAAAUGCGUAGAGAUCGGGAGGAACAUCAGUGGCGAAGGCGGCCAUCUGGGACAACACUGACGCUGAAGCACGAAAGCGUGGGGAGCAAACAGG